GACGAACGCUGGCGGCGUGCUUAACACAUGCAAGUCGAACGGAAAGGCCCGGCUUUUGUGGGGUGCUCGAGUGGCGAACGGGUGAGUAACACGUGAGUAACCUGCCCUUGACUGUGGGAUAACUUCAGGAAACUGGGGCGAAUACCGGAUAGGAGCUCCUGCUGCAUGGGGGGGGUUGGAAAGUUUCGGCGGUGGGGGAUGGACUCGCGGCUUAUCAGCUUGUUGGUGGGGUAGUGGCUUACCAAGGCUUUGACGGGUAGCCGGCCUGAGAGGGUGACCGGCCACAUUGGGACUGAGGUACGGCCCAGACUCCUACGGGAGGCAGAAGUGGGGAAUAUUGCGCAAUGGGCGGAAGCCUGAUGCAGCAACGCCGCGUGCGGGAUGACGGCCUUCGGGUUGUAAACCGCUUUCGCCUGUGACGAAGCGUGAGUGACGGUAAUGGGUAAAGAAGCACCGGCUAACUACGUG
rnacentral:rRNA from 1 species